GUCACUUUGGCGGCACAUAUGCUAAAAUUGGAGCAGUACAGAGAUUAGCAUGGCCCCUGUGUGAGAAUGACACACAGAUUUGUGAAGCAUUCCAUUAAAGA
ensembl:snRNA U6 U6 spliceosomal RNA